rnacentral:rRNA from 1 species
AUAGCCUAACGGCUGAACCAGCAACUUGGAGGAAUGUAUAGCAAUAGCUAGUUGCAUCAUAAUAAAUAUGAUGCAAGAUUGACUGUGUUGAAUAAAAUUCUAGGUAUGAUUAUGAUAAUGACAUUGUCUGCCUAUAUGUCUUGACCAAAUUACGUGCCAGCAGUCGCGGUAACACGUAGAAGACAAGUGUUAUUCAUGUUUAAUCGGUUUAAAGGGUACCUAGACGGCAGAUCAAGCUUUCCGAGCAGAAAAAAGUAAAAAAGGACUAAUUUGCUAGAGUUACUUGCGGUGGGGCUUUAAAGUACUGCUGGUGUAGAGAUGAAAUCCUAUUAUACCUAAGUUCGAAAGAAUAAUAAUGGCACAGGUAUAGGCGAAGGCAUCCCCUUAUGUGAUAACUGACGUUGAGGGACGAAGGCUUUUAACAGCGAACGGGAUUAGAUACCCCAUUAGUGGAAGCAGUAAAUGAUGAAUGUCAUAGAUUAGCUAGAUAGGUUCAUUCUAUAAAUGAAAGUGUAAGCAUUCCACCUCAUGAGUAAUAUGGCAACAUUGGAAUUGAAAUCAUUAGACCGUUUCUGAAACCAGUAGUGAAGUAUGUUGUUUAAUUUGUUAACCCUCAAAAAACCUUACCACAAUUUGAAUAUAUAUAUUUUUUUUUAUUGCAUCGCUAUUAAUUUUCUUCUCUUUACACAAGCAAGAGAUAAAUAAAAGAGGAAAUAUUUUAAUAAAGAGGCAAUAAGAUAUAUUUACAAGUGCUGCACGGCUGUCUUCAGUUAAUGUCGCGAGAUUUUGGUUAGAUCCAUUAAAUUAACGUAAACCCUUACUUUAUUUUUAGAUAGAGUUGUUCCCCGCUAUAUUGGAUACGAUAACAGGGACUAAGACAAGCCCUCAUGGCCUAAAUAUUG